CCCAUAAGAUUUAACUUUACCAAUAUCUGACACAAAAUAACGGAGGAAAGAGAGGGCCCCGAGCAGUGAGCUCGGGGCCCGUGAAAUGGGAAUUUAAUUCUAUACUAAUUGUUAUUCGGAUAAAUUUUCCACAAGCGCAAUCGCAUCCGAGUUAUAAUCCUUUGAACAAACAAAAAAUCGAAAUAAGGCGAGAGGCGAGUCAAUUUCAUGGAACAAUUUUGGCGUUGAAUAAAAACUUUUUUCCUAUGAGACUUUUGGGAUCUUUUCUUUCAUCGCCCUAGUGCCAAAAAAGCUGAAGCUGAGAAGCAGACAAUUUCGUCUUGCUUUGAAAAUUUGACAUCGACACAAUGAGUUUCCAGCCCUCAGGGUC